AAUUAUUGGGCGUAAAGAGCUCGUAGGCGGUUUGUCGCGUCUGCCGUGAAAGUCCGGGGCNUCAACUCCGGAUCUGCGGUGGGUACGGGCAGACUAGAGUGAUGUAGGGGAGACUGGAAUUCCUGGUGUAGCGGUGAAAUGCGCAGAUAUCAGGAGGAACACCGAUGGCGAAGGCAGGUCUCUGGGCAUUAACUGACGCUGAGGAGCGAAAGCAUGGGGAGCGAACAGGAUUAGAUACCCUGGUAGUCCAUGCCGUAAACGUUGGGCACUAGGUGUGGGGGACAUUCCACGUUUUCCGCGCCGUAGCUAACGCAUUAAGUGCCCCGCCUGGGGAGUACGGCCGCAAGGCUAAAACUCAAAGGAAUUGACGGGGGCCCGCACAAGCGGCGGAGCAUGCGGAUUAAUUCGAUGCAACGCGAAGAACCUUACCAAGGCUUGACAUGAACCGGAAAGACCUGGAAACAGGUGCCCCGCUUGCGGUCGGUUUACAGGUGGUGCAUGGUUGUCGUCAGCUCGUGUCGUGAGAUGUUGGGUUAAGUCCCGCAACGAGCGCAACCCUCGUUCUAUGUUGCCAGCACGUGAUGGUGGGGACUCAUAGGAGACUGCCGGGGUCAACUCGGAGGAAGGUGGGGACGACGUCAAAUCAUCAUGCCCCUUAUGUCUUGGGCUUCACGCAUGCUACAAUGGCCGGUACAAAGGGUUGCGAUACUGUGAGGUGGAGCUAAUCCCAAAAAGCCGGUCUCAGUUCGGAUUGGGGUCUGCAACUCGACCCCAUGAAGUCGGAGUCGCUAGUAAUCGCAGAUCAGCAACGCUGCGGUGAAUACGUUCCCGNGGCCUUGUACACACCGCCCGUCAAGUCACGAAAGUUGGUAACACCCGA
rnacentral:rRNA from 1 species